rfam:Eubacterium sp. An11 An11_contig_7, whole genome shotgun sequence.
UAACACCAGGCUCCAGAAAGUCAUGCUUUCACGCUGGCGUGAAAAAGCAGGACUUUGGGAGCCGCUCCCGCAUGAGCAUGGAGCACGAAGUGCGGGAAUGCGAAUGUGGGAAGGAUUGCGGGAGCACAGAGUGCGGAGCAAUCCGAGGUGUUA